UUGAAAAUAAUAAUGUGCAUUAACAUAGUAAUACACUUCUUAUGAGAAUUGACACAACCAGUUCAUUAUUAUUAGAAGAAAAAAAAAGUUUAACAUAUUGGAAUACAGCAGAGAAAUGAUCACCUUGUGAUGGAGGUGAUUAAAAAUAAAAAUUAACUUGAUCCCAUGCUUAAUUAAUAACUGGGUGCCCUGCCCUGCUUGGCCUAGUUAUUGUAAUCAAAGGAAUAUUUUUUUCUUUAGCUGGUUCGGGAAAAUCGACUAUACCGUACGGUCCAAAAGUGUACGUUGUACUACACAAUGUUUGUGCAAAGUUUCUUUCUUCAAAUGUCCUGCACGUAAUAUCUUUUAUUGCAAACGCAUUAUUACUUAAUCUUAGGUGCUAAUACCGGACCAUAUUGCCUAGGGCACAUUGAAUAAGGAAACUACUCCCACCAUCGCAACAGGUAUAGAUGAGGAGAUGCCAAUGGGCACUAGGGCAACUUUGUAAAAAAUAUGUUGGACAUUAACUAUUAUAAUACACUUUCUUAUUUGAGAAUUGACACAACCAGUUUAAUCUAAAUUAUUGAGAAGAAGAAAAAAUUGUUUAACAUUUGGAAUAAGGCAGAGAAAUUGAUCAACCUGUGGAAUUGGAUGGUGAUUAAAAAUAGUGUCGAAAAAUUUACAACUUUGACUCCCAUGCUUAAUUAAUAAGCCCUUUGCUUUUCCUUUUCCUUUUCCUUGUUGGAUGAUGACACUCUGCCAUCUGUCCCUGCAAGUAUGCUAUAUUUGUCCUUCCUAGUUAAAUUUGUGCACUCAAUUCCCAAAGUCCCAGCCAACACCCUCUGAAUAUAAUUUGCAACUUCAUAAGCAGAUUUCCCACCUUUGCAAAAGAUAAGCUUCUUCGUACGGUAGCGUUCAGGAACGUAAUUUCGUAAGUUGGCACGGAUUCAUGAAUACGAAAUACGGGUCCAACAAUUUGUGCCCCCUAACCGUUGUACCAUGAAACACACUUUGUUUUGUGUUGAUUGCAACAGGCACAAUCCUAUCAGUGAGCUCAGCAAAUAGGGCAGUACCCACAGAAACGGCUCUCCUGUGUAGUUAUUAGCACAAAAGUUAAAUUUCGAAGCAAAUAAAUGAAAUACCUCUCCUAUACUAAUAAAAGACCACCGGCCUAUGCGGAGAAAUUUUUCUGUCUUGACGUCCAAAUUACGGAGUUGGUGUGAGAUUGUUGGUGGGGAUACAACCCAACAGGUUUAGAAUUGUACAUUUUGUUGCAAAUGAAUAGAAAUCCUUGCUCUUUCUUUGCUCGCUUAUGCCUUACUUACUACAUAAUUAAUCCCUAGAGACUUAAUUUUGUAUCUCGCACCUGUUAGGUGUUCUCUGGCGAGGAGUACAUAUUUUUAAAAAGUGAAGGGCAACAUUGGGUAGGUCCCACAAUCUGCCCUCAUGAGAAUAUAAAUAGAAUUUUCUUGUCUUGGCCAGUGAAAAAAAUGAAAAUUGGCUUCCUGAAUUUAACGUUAACACAGAAAAAAAUGGGAGUUUUCAUCUUUUAGUUUUUGAUUCAACUGUAAAUUCAAAACUGGUUAGGAGUUGGUCAAAUUGUGGCUUUACAGAGUGUGGUUCUUAUAAGGAGGGUCAUCUGAAAGUAACCUAACUCCAAUAUACUAAAUAAAUUUUCAACCCAUGAACCGGAAGUCAACUUGCCUUAAUAGUAUUCGGACGACAAACAUUUUUAGUAUCGGCAAUUCCAUUACAUUCGUAAAAUACAGAACAACAUUGUUUUCCGAUUGUCAACAACUCAUUUCACUUGAAUAUUGUAUUUCAUCAACGAGUAUUAAUUAAUCUUUACUAAAAAAAGGGUAUUCUUAAUUUGUUAACUUUUCCCUUUGUUCUUGUUUUUUCGGAGCAGUUUGUAGUUUGAGAGUGCUAUUGUAUGGGCCAUCACCUAGUAGUAACGUUUAAUGAUUAAUAUUGUGAUACAGAGAUACAUGAAGCGGGACUGAGAUGGAAUUCUCUUAUUGCGUAGAUUUUGUUGCAUGUGUGUAUAUCAACAUUAAACAAACUAUCUGAAUCCUCUUUCCACCAGUCUUCAUAACUCAUUAAAUUGCCACAAAAAAAAUCUGUCAAUUUCUGUUCUCUCAAGACAUAAACUUGAGAGCAAUCAUACCCACAUAUAAUUGAUUCCAUAAACGGUUGACGGAUUUAUGUUGUUGAGAUUAGCUGGGAAGCCUUUGGCCAAAAAAAUAAAAAAAAUAAAGACACUCAACAUUUAAAUAUUAAAAGCUGCUGGCAUGCUGGCAAAACUAAAUUGUUUAGAUACAUGAAAACGUGUAACCAUUUUUAUUUUUUUAAAAGGAAAUAGUUGCAUGCAUGCUUCUUUUUUAAACAUGAAGCGGGACUGAUGGAAUUCUCUUAUUGCGUAAGUUUCCAUGUGGUAUAUCAACAUUAAACAAACUAUCAUCCUCUUUCACUCAGUCUGUCAAUAACUCAUUAAAUUGCCAAAAAGAAAAAAAAUCUGUCAUUUCUCUCUCUCAAGAAACAGAUAACUUGAGAGCAAUCAUACCCAUAUAAUUGAUUCCAUAAACGGUUGCGGAUUUUGUUGUUGAGAUUAGCUGGGAAGCCUUUGGCCACAAAAAUAAAAAAAAUAAAACACUUCAACAUUUAAUAUUAAACGGCUGCUGGCUGCUGGCAAACUAAAUUGUUUAGAUACAUGAAAACGUGUAACCACUUUUAUUUUUUUUAAAAGGAAAAUAGUUGCAUGCAUGCAUUCAUUUUUUUUAAAGUUUGUAGACGAAGAUUAUGUGAAAAUUUCUACAGCUAAUACGAAUCUUGAUUGAAACAAAUCUUUGAAAUUUUAAUUAAUCGUAUAUUUACCGUGUGUGUAUCUUUUUUUAUAAAUAUUAAGCUAUAAGCCUAUAACUAAAUAAUAAUAUCCUUUAUAGUGUAUACAGGAUACGCAAAGCAUCUAAGUCAAAUCCUUUCAAAUCAAGUAAAAAUUUUGAGAGAGCAUGGGUCGUGCUUUUGGUUACCUUAGGUCACCAACAUCCCUGACUACAUGAAAGUAUAAGAAUCAAAACUUACUUAGACAGGAAGAGAAUAAUUAACGCUAACUAGUAGUAUCCUUAUAAGUUAAACCAAAAAAAUGAUGGAGUUUGAACUCGAAAUGUUGUAGUUUGAAAGAAGAAAUGCUCUAUGUAACACUUGCAACUACAGGCGAGACAACUAAAAACAAAAGAAAAAAGAUCAUGCAUAACUAUAGUUAAUUUCAAGAUGGGUAAUGCUAAAGAGACUAAAUUUGUAAAUUAAAUGUUUUAAACCAAAUGAAAUGGAAAUCGAUGAUUGGAUUAUUAUUUAAGCGUUGAUUACCGUACCUACUUUUUAUUGGUAACACAUUAUUUAGUUUCCAAAUUCAGUCUACCAAGCAUAAUUCUUUCACAAUUGUCGACAAUCCACUGCCACAUUUAAUUAGGGUUAAGCAGACCAUCUUCUUCCUAAAAUAUUAAUUAAGGGACUUAAAUCUUCGAAAUAUUAUCCUAUAUUGUAAUGUAUUGUAAUUUAGGAUAAUGGAUAAUUGAUAUUGGGGUCACUGAUCAUGUGACUAGUGACUCUAGAGUGUUUGAUGAGUUAUGUGAUUAUGUUCGUGAUCCGUAUAUUACUAGUGCAAAUGGAGCACCUUCCCCUGUAAAGGGUGAAGGCACUAUCUCUCUUACUCCGACCUUAUCACUGGUCCAUGCGUUACUUGUUCCUGAUGUUAAAUGCAAUCUUUCGUAAGUAGGAAAACUACUUGAUACCUUAUAUUGUUCUGCUCACUUUUACCCUACGUAUUGUUAUUUUCAAUACAUUUAAACUCAGAAAAUAAUUGGUCGUGAUAAAAGAAUAGGGGGUUUGUACAUCUUAACUAUGGAGGAUAUUGUUGUUUCCAGUUCAAAUAAUCAUCAAGUUUUAAGUGCUAAAGUGGACGACAAACAUCAAAUUCGGUUGUGGCAUCGACGAUUGAGACAUCCAUCAUUCAGUUAUAUGAAGCAUCUAUUUCCUUCUUUGUUUCGCACUUGUAGUGAUUCAGAGUUCAAGUAUGAAACAUGUGUCAUGGCUAAGAGCCAUCGUGCUUCCUUUGACAUAAGUGAUUCUAAAGCUACUUUGCCAUUUGAUUUAAUACAUUCUGAUGUGUGGGGUCCAGCUAAGGUUACUUGUAAUGGAUUCCGUUAGUUUGUUACUUUUAUUGAUCAUUGUACUCGAUUAACUUGGGUGUUCUUGAUGAAGAAUAAGAGUGAUGUUCCUUUACUUCUUCAAGAAUUUUGUGCAAUGGUGUCUACUCAAUUUCAGACCAAAGUUAAGGUCUUCAGGUCUGAUAACGGAGGAUAAUAUGUAAAUCACACUUUGGCAUGAUUUUUUCAUUAAUGGGGUAUUAUUCAUCAGACGAUUACUCCGUUUACACCCCAACAAAAUGGUGUGUUCGAACAAAAGAAUCGUCAAAUAAUGGAGGUUGCUCAUUCCUUGAUGUUGGAUAAAUGUGUUCCUAAUCGUUUGUGGGGUUAUGUUGUUUUGGCUGUUGUGUAUUUGAUAAAUCGUGUUCUAAGUAGGGUUCUUGUUUUGGCUGUUAUGCAUCAAGUUUCUCUUGUUUCUGUAUCAAAACUUCCUCCGAAGAUGUUUGGGUGUAUUGCGUAUGUGCAUGUCUACUCUUAUCAACGGAGUAAACUUGAUGCAUGUGCUCUUCGAUGUGUAUUUAUUGGGUAUGCUAACAAUCAGAAUGGCUAUAAGUGUUAUCAUCCUCCGACUCAAAAAACUUAUAUUACCAUGGAUGUCACCUUCCACGAGGAAGUUUCAUAUUUUGUGAAGCCCUCUUCUGACUCUUCACUUCAGGAUGAGAGGGGGAGUGAAGUGCAGAUUCGAAGAGAUGGUAUGGAUGAUGUGUUAUAGGCAGAGUUAGGGACCUAACCUAUUAUGUUGCAUGAUACUGAUCAGUCGGCUAUAGAUAGUGAUUGGUCACCUGUCAUUCUCGAAACUAUUUCUACUGACGACAGAUCAGAUGUGCCCAACGAGUUGCAUGUUAGUCUGUCUAACGAAUUACCUUCUGAUGACCAUGUCUAACGAGUUGCCUAAUGAUGGUUCAUCCAGUGAUGAUUCUUCUCACAGUUUGGUACAAGAUGGUGACAUACAUAAGGUAAAUUCUGACAAUUCUUCUACUUAUCAGUUGCCUCCACGAGCUAAUCGUGGAAAACCUAAAGUACUAUAAGCCUGAUAUGCAUGCAAAAGCCAAAUAUCCUAUCAAUAAUUAUGUGUCUACUCAUUGUUUGUCCAAACCAUAUGCAUCUUACAUAUGUCAGCUAUCUAGUGUAUCAAUUCCAACAAAAUUGCACGAUACUUUGUCUGACCCUAAGUGGGUUAAUGCCAUGAGAGUUGAGAUGGAAGUCUUGGAAAAGAAUUCUACUUGGGAUUUGGUUCCUUACUAAACGGGAAGAAAGCUAUUAGGUGUAGAUGGGUGUUCAUUAUUAAGCAUAAAACAGAUGGCUCUAUUGAUCGGUAUAAAGCCAGAUUAAUUGCUAAUGGUUAUACUCAAACCUAUGGGGUAGACUAUCAGGAGACUUUUAAUACUGUACGUGUUCUUCUGUCCUUAGCAGCAAACCAGGAUUGGCAUCUGCUACAUUUUGAUGUUAAGAAUGCUUUCCUUUAUGGUGAUCAUAAGGAGGAAGUUUAUAUGGAUCUCCCACCUGGUAUCAGAACAUUUCCUGGAAAAUGUGUUGUAUGCAGGUUGCAAAAGGCUUUGUAUGGUUUGAAACAAUCUCCUAGAGCAUGGUUUGGGAGGUUUACAAGUUCAAUGAAGAAGUUUGGGUAUGUCCAGAGUCAUUCAUAUCAUACUUUGCUUCUAAAGCAACAAAAUGGUAAGCUAAUUGCAUUGAUUAUUUAUGUUGAUGACAUUAUAGUGAUUGGUGAUGAUCAGAAAGAGAUACAAGGCCUUCAAAAGUACCUAGCUACUGAAUUUGAGAUGAAAAAAUUGAGUGAAUUGAAGUAUUUUCUUGGAAUCGAGGUUGCACGAUCCAAGCAUGGUAUUUUUCUGUCUCAACAGAAGUAUGUUCUUGAUUUGUUAGCUAAAAUAUGUAUGUUAGAUUGCAAACCUAUUGAUACUCCGAUUGAGCAGAAUCAUCGUCUGGGCUUAUUUUUGGAUCAAGUUCCUACUCAUAAGGAACGGUAUCAGAGGCUUAUGGGGAGAUUAAUUUAUUUGUCUCACACUCGCCCUGAUAUUGCUUAUGCAGUUAGUGUGGUAAGUCAGUUUAUGCACUCACUUAGUAAAGCUCAUAUGGAUGCAGUAAUCCGUAUUUUGAGGUACUUGAAGAUGGAUUCUGGCAGAUGAUUGGUUUUCUCCAAGAAUGGUCAUUUGAAUGUCGAAGGGUAUACAGAUGCAGAUUGGGCAGGUUCUAUCACUGAUCAGCGAUCUACAUCUAGAUACUUUACGGUUGUGGAUGGUGAUAUAGUUACUUGGAGAAGCAAGAAACAAAAAGUGGUGGCUAGGUCAAGUGCUGAAGUUGAGUUUCGUGGUAUGUCUCACGGUGUAUGUGAAUUGUUGUGGUUGAAAAAAUUGUUGAGAGAUCUUGGAUUUAAACCCAAGGGUGCUAUAAAACUCCAUUGUGAUAACAAGGCUGCUAUUGAAAUUGGAUGCUGGAAUUAUUAUGUUUCCGUUUGUGGGAUUUGAAGAUCAACUCGCUGAUGUACUUACUAAGGUUGUGUCUAAUAGUGUGUUUUCCAAGUCGCUUGACAAGUUGGGCAUGCGUGACAUCUUUGCUCGAACUUGAAGGGGAGUGUUGCGAGUUAUAUAUUAGUUAAAGUGUAAAUAGUAGUUUGUUGUCCCACAUUGAUGAAGUGCAUAUGUAAUACCAAUUGUAACUCUUAUAUAUACUCCACUUUGGAGAUUAAUGUGUGUGUGUGUGUGUGUGUGUGUGUGUGUGUGUGUGUGUAUAAGAAAUUCCCAAAUAUUGUCAUAUAUAUUUUUGGUAUUUACCAUGUUUAGUUUGAUAGUAAUGAAAUUAGUUAGUGAGCGGCUGAGUUGUUAGAUGAUUUGUUUGAGAGAGAGCUUAGUUUGUUAAGGAUGAUAUCUCAUUUGAGUGGUCAUUGUUGUAAUUAAAAGGAUGAUCUCCCAGCUAGUAAAUCUCGUGCAACCCCUUGCUUGUAGAAGCUUAACAUGUGGCUUGUUUAUAUUUCAGGCACCAAUUCUAUUCCACGGGAAUCUAAAAUGCAAAGUAUUUGUUAGUGUCAAAUAUCGGAUAGAGCCCAACUUAGGUCAACACAAGCGUUACUUUCAUUCUCAGAGUCAUGGAAUGCCUCGAGAGAAAGUAUUGAGAAUAGGCGUGCCACAAUUGUAGGUUGAUAAUAGAUAGUGAUUGCAUAGUGAUUUGUAGGUUUUUGGUUAGCUCUGACUUCUAAACCAAAAUGAUUAUGCACCGAAUGAGAUAUUGAUUCGGUUAGGUUCUUUUGAAUGCAUAUGAGACCGAGGACUUGAAAACCAGUGUGUUAUAUAUGUUUUGCCUAAGAAUGUAAGUAGAAUAGAAGUGAAGAGAAGGAGUGGGUUAGGAUGCAUGAUCCUGAUGUUAGAGUUAUGUCCUAAAAGCUAAUUAUGUAAUAUUGGUUAUUAUGUAACAACUCAAUUUUAAUUAUAAUUAAUAAAAGGACAAGUUUUAUUCAUUCAUGAGUUUGGCUUUGGCUUUAUAUUAUAGAGAUAAUAUAAAGCCAAUUAGGUAAUAUUAGAUAUCAUGUAACAACUCUAUUUUAGUUAAUUAAUAAAAGGACAAGUUUUAUUCAUUCAUGAGUUUAGUUUUAUCUUAUGUUGGGAAGGAGCAAUCCAAGCUGAAGUGAGCUCGCCUAAGCUAGGCUUCCUUGUUGGUGGGCCGGUGUCGCACGCUUUUGGUGAAAUAAAAAUUAGAUACCCUACUAUAACAAGCCUAAUUUUUAUUUAUGGUCGAAAUAAUUAUAUGUCAAGGUCGUCAACAAUAGCAGAGUAUAAGGCUUUGGACAUAACAACUGCAUGAAUGGCAUGGAUAAGGCAGCUAAUGUUCAUGUUCCAUUGUGACACACCCUGAUCCUAGAAUCAAGGCGUGCUGGCCAUCACGUGAGUGUGACGUAACCAAAAGUGCAGUGCGGAAGCAAGGGAUAUGAGAGAUAUGAAGGAAUAAAAACCAACUACUAGUAGUAAUAUCCAACUAGCAUGCUAGAGUGAAUAUAAGUGUGCAGUACACCAGUUCAGAGCAUAAAGAAAACUAGGUGCAGUCAAGUAAGACUAUAAUUAAAGUACAACACCCGCAGGUGAGUCCUACAUGCAGGAAGUCUGUCAGAACGCCGAAGAAAAACCUCGUGAGUCGCCAACUGCUAACUAGAACCUGGAGGGGCGCAAAAACAAAAUUGAGUGGGUUAGUAAAACCAAAGUUUCCAAAACAUUUCAUUAAAAACAUUUCUAACCCCUCACUGUAAAACCUGUAUACUUUCCCAGAGAAUAACGUAAUAGCAUAUAAAACCUCAUACGUCACAAGUCACCAUUCUAUCACAAAUCCAGGAAUAUGCCAUGCCAUAAAUGUCAAUAACAAAACAUAGAUGCAUCAAAAUAACAGGUGACAUGAUGAAUUAACCGGAGACCCUGCAGUUGGUCCUGUACGGUUAAUUCCAUAGUUCAAUAUCCAACCCAGCCGGAGUCACCAUGAUGACCUGUACGACACUACUCUGCACAUAAAUCGGAACUACCUGAAGUAGUCUGUACGACAAGAAUGGUGUAAUGAUACGCUCUAGUGCUUCUCUCAUCAAUCAUUUGCGCGCGUGAUCUAAGGUCACCUACUAGUCGGAACCACCUCUAGUGGUAUGUUCGACUAGCAUGUCAGAGUUCCAUCUUUCUUUCUCAUAAAUAAUACCGGAGCUCCCCAAGGUGACGUACUAGGUUGAAUGAAACCUUUAUCAAGUAAUUCUUGUAACUGAAUUUUCAACUCUCUCAGUUCAGCUGGAGCCAUUCUGUAUGGAGUUAAAGAUAUAGGAUCUGUACCAGGAAGCAAAUCAAUAGAAAAUUCCACAUCUCUGUCUGGCGGCAAUCCCGGCAAUUCAUUUGGAAAUACAUCAUGAUAGUGCCUGACUACUCCAACUUCCUCUACACUGCUAGGAACAACAUCAUUUAAUACCACAUGGGCUAAGUAUCCUUGACAACCCUUCGAUAAUAACUUCUUUGCUCUCAUGGCAAAAAUAACUCCAUGUCUCACCCCGCUUCUUUCACCCACAAAAGUAACCUCUGGUAAUCCAGGACGAUAAAAGGUAACAGAUUUCCCGUAACAAUCAAUAUGGGCACGAUUAUAAUGCAACCAAUAUGCUCCUAGAAUCACAUCAAAAUCCACAAUAUCUAACGGGAUAAGAUUGGCUGGCAUAACUACACCCUCUACCAUCACUGGACAUCCAAGAUAAACACUAUCAACAUAACAUUUAUCCCCUCUAGGCAUGGCAAACUCUAAAUCAAAUCCUAGAGGCGAAGGGUGAGGUUGAGUCAUUUGAGCAAACGUAUGAGAAAUCACAGAAUGUGUACCACAAUCAAUCAAAACUCUAGCAAAAUGACCAAGAAUAUUUAACGUACCCAUGAUCAAAUCUGGAUGGUUCUGAUCAUCUUGCAGUGAUAUGUGAUUAACACGUCCCUGAGCUUGCUGUCGUCCACCACGACCUCUGUUGCCUUGGUUACCUCGCCCCUGUGAAGUACGUCCCUGCCAUGACUGAUUAGACUGCCUCGAUGAUCCUGCACCACUAGCAGCAACCUCUCCCUGACAGGGUUGACCUCCCUGAUGCCACUGAGAUCCACUGGCAGACAUGGAAGAAUAAGAAGGAUAACCCACAGGGUCUUAGGAAUACCAGUCUGAGAAUAAGGAUCCUGGGAAUACUGAUACUGUCCGGAAGCAUAGGGAGCAGCAUCACCCUGAUAGUGGUAAGCACCACCACGACCCGUCUGACCAUAAUUGCCUGAUCCAAAGUUCUGCUAAAUCGGCGCUAGAGGUGGCAUACCAGACUGCUGAGAUUUCUGCUGACUCUGGGGACACUGAGUAGCCCUAUGUCCCAUUUGUCCACAAAUGUAGCAAGCACCACCACUACCGCUUCUCCUACACUCUCCAUGAUGUCUGAAGUUACAACGGCGGCACAACGGAGCACCAGAACCACCAGCACCACCAAAAUCUCUCUGUCUCUGAAAUCUAGGCCCGCCAGCAAAUCUUCCACCUCUCAUCGGGCCAGUGACACUAAAUCCUCCACUGGAAGAACUCGAACUUGCUCCACUUUUCUUGAAAUUCUGCGUCUUACGGGGUCCCUAAGUGGAGAUACCUUUGCCCUUAUCAUCCUUCUUCUGACUAUCAUUCUUGUCCUCAUCAUCCUCACUGUCACUAGGAAGAUUAUCGGAAUCCUCCAUCCGAACCAAAAUCUCGAAAAACUCAUGAUAAUCGUUGCAAGGAAGCGCACUAGCAAAAGUUCGCCAUUUCCUCUUAGUUCCCAGCUUAAAACGACGAAGCAUCUAUACUUGAUUACCAGCUAUAUCAGGAUCAUAACGAGACAAGUCUGUAAACUUUCUGUAAUACUCAUGUGCUGACAUAUUCUUUUGCUUCAAUCGAGUGAACUCAUGCUUCUUGCGAUCAAUGUACUCCGGAGAGAUAAAUCUUUUCUUAAAAUGUUCCUUGAAUACUUCCCAAUCAGCUGCCAUCUCAGGGGACAUAAACUGAGUUUGAUUUUUCCACCAACCUGCAGGCUCUCAUCCCAAAAACCAAGUAGUGGUCUCAACCCAUCUAUUAGCAGGAAAAUUUCCUUGACUCUGCAUCACUUGAAAAGUCAUCUCAAUAUGGUCUAGCCACUUCUCUGCCCCUUCAUGACCUUCAUUACCCAUGAAACGAUCCAAUUUUAGAUUAUACAUAGUCUCCAGGGGUGUCCUCUGAGAAGGAGGAGGAGGGCGGAUUGCAUUCUGAAAGGCCUGGGCCAUCACUUCCCCUAACUGAGUUAUAUCAGGGAAAUUAGGUUCAGAAGCACGGCGUGACUCCCUACGAGGCGGCAUAAUUCUGACAGAAAACAUCAAAAGAUCAUUAGAGCAUUAACAAUUAUACAGGACUGCAACCUAGGCUCUGAUACCAAACUGACACACCCCGAUCCUAGAAUCAAGGCGUGUUGGCUAUCACGUGAGUGUGACGUAACCAAAAGUGCGGUGCGGAAGCAAGGGAUAUGAGAGAUACGAAGGAAUAAAAACCAACUACUAGUAGUAAUAUCCAACUAGCAUGCUAGAGUGAAUAUAAGUGUGCAGUACACCAGUUCAGAGCAUAAAGAAAACUAGGUGCAGUCAAGUAGGACUAUAAUUAAAGUACAACACCCGCAGGUGAGUCCUACAUGCAGGAAGUCUGUCAGAACGCCGAAGAAAAACCUCGUGAGUCGCCAACUGCUAACUAGAACCUGGAGAGGCGCAAAAACAAAAUUGAGUGGGUUAGUAAAACCAAAGUUUCCAAAACAUUUCAUUAAAAACAUUUCUAACCCCUCACUGUAAAACCUGUAUACUUUCCCAGAGAAUAACGUAAUAGCAUAUAAAACCUCAUACGUCACAAGUCACCAUUCUAUCACAAAUCCAGGAAUAUGCCAUGCCAUAAAUGUCAAUAACAAAACAUAGAUGCAUCAAAAUAACAUGUGACAUGAUGAAUUAACCGGAGACCCUGCAGUUGGUCCUGUACGGUUAAUUCCAUAGUUCAAUAUUCAACCCAGCCGGAGUCACCACGGUGACUUGUACGGCACUACUCUGCACAUAAGUCGGAACUACCUGAAGUAAUCUGUACGACAAGAAUGGUGUAAUGAUACGCUCUAGUGCUUCUCUCAUCAAUCAUCUGCGCGCGUGAUCUAAGGUCACCUACUAGUCCGAACCACCUCUAGUGGUCUGUUCGACUAGCAUGUCGGAACCCUCUCAUGGUCUGUACAACAUGCACCUACUUGGAUCCAAGGUGAGCGUGCGGUGCGGUGAAUAAUAUAAGCAUUAACACCAGGGGUGCAGGUUAUGAGCUCUCAACACAAUUCGCAUUAUCAAUGAUUCACAUAAGUAACAUAAAAUUCACCUGAUACUCACCUGUGCGUCCGCAGCACCAAUUCACAUAUAUAUAUACAUUCAUAUCCAUUCAUAUAAUUCAUAAUAUGCAUGCAUGGCAAUUGAAAACAUACUUUCAUAUAAAUUCAAUUUCUGGGAAAAUUAAUAGUAUAAAGGUAUAUACUGAAAACAAAACUGCCCACUCACUGGUAAGUCGAUGGGUCGUAACCCCCGUGACGUCCCUGGAUGCGCUCGUCCUCGGGAUAGGUGUCACCUAUAUGCGAAACAACUAUAAAAACGUUAAUUAAUGCACAUAACCAACAAUUCGAAAUAACUUCUUAUACGGUGCUCAAUUUGGGUAUAUGAAUAUACCACAUCGACCUACUCGACGUCACGGACGUCGAGAAAUUUUUAAAAAAAUUUUUUGAAGCGGCACGUGCCCCCACGCGCGUCUUCUUCCUCGAGCUCGCCAGACUGGUUUUUCUGGUGGCCGGAAUCUGGGAAAUUUUCAAACGCUUUGUUCUCCUUCGUUUCUCAACCAUUUUCUUCGUAUUUUAUAUCAAUUUGAAGCCUCAACAUGUAGAAUCACGAUAGACUAGUUUCAAGAUCUAAAAUCCACUAGAUUUUACCUGAGGAAGCUCGAUAAUCCGGCCAAAUUUGAAAAGCUCCGUUCUCAGUCCUCCGACGUCCAAAUUCUACCAACGAAGUACCCCGAAGCUCGUGAGGAUCUCCUUAAGCUCACUGUGAGCUUGAAAUUCCCUGAAAUGCAAGAUUUUACGUGUGCAUGAACAGUGCACAUUUUCGGGGUUAGGGUUUCACAACGAUUCUGAGGAUUUCUGAGGUUUUAAAAUCAAAUAUCACAUAUACGAACUCACAAGCUUACUAGGAGUUCAAAUCUUACCUUAGAACCUUCGAUCCGUGAAGAAAUGGGAGGUUCCUAGCUUGUCUGUACGUACACAGUGCACGUGAAGCAGAAAAAUCGAGAAGAGAGAAAGAGACACGGGGAAAGGAGAAAGAAGGAUGGACUGUGUGUGUGUGUGGUCCAACAUACCCCAUCACCAUCCAUUUUCUUUUUUUUUUCCUAACUCCCUAACCACACAAAACAUACAACCCAAUUUAAUCUACUUAAAUAUUUUUCCUAAAGUUUAGGAAUGAAUUUAGUCCAAUAAUAUGCCACACACACAUACCUUAAUAUCCGUCAAGGGUAAUUCCGUCAUUUCACGUCCCCGAUAUAUAAAAUCCCGGAACGGGCUGUGACACAUUGGAUGCUCCUCCCAUGAUUUACAGUGGCAACAUGUCUGCCAUAGCCAUUACAUAGCAAAACACAUUGAGAUAAACUUGUUGUGAAGGAUAAGGUCAUAAAAAAUGAUUUGCGAAAGUGCUAUUCAGAAACUCAUUUUUAUCUCCCACACCUUUGUUAAUCUUUGGCUAUUGAUCUUCUUCAACUCAUUUGAUCCGACAGCUGAAAACUGAGAGGAGUAUGAGAAGUAAAAAUGGGUGUGUGAAUAACACUACCUAUGAUUAUUGGUGCAACAUUGCAAUAAUCUCAUGGUUCACACAAGCAUGAUUGAGGGGGGACGUAGAGUAUAGAGCUCCGAAGCUUUAAGUUGUUGUAAAUCAGUUAGUGAUCAGUAAUUUGUUAAAGUGAGAGAGAGCUUAGUUUGUUAAGUUUGUUAGUAAGCAAAGAGAUGUAAGGCACGUAAUCUUGCAGAAUGCAAUCAACAGUUUCCCUUUUCUCUGCAGGUCACAUCUCUAAUUUCAUGCAGAAUUAAUAUGUUGCUUCAAAAGAUUUUAUUAUUGAGACUUCAAAGGCACAUGUCCCUGCCGCUUCCCUCACCUAAUUAGUCGAUCCGUUAAUGGCCGGUCACUUUUGAAUUAGACGUUUCGACGUGAACAGAUUUCAAUUCAUCUCAUUUAGCAAUUUCUUUUAGUUGAAUAGAUAAAGUAAGAAUAAAAAUCAAGAAAUUGCAGUCUUUAAUUAAUUUUCAUUUUUUUAUAUCUGCAUCUACCAAAUUAAUGGACGAUUGGAUGUCAAAAAUCAACCGAAUUGUGCCUCAAGUUGAUAACAACGGGAGCUUCAAUGUGAUUAGUAAUCUUGACUCUUAAGGGUGUCGUACAUUAAUCAAGUAUAAAUUUGCAUUUGUGGUUAACUUCAAGAAAACAAGAAAUGUUCGUAUUUUUAUUUCUAUAUAUAUAUAUAUACUAAUGACUCGUUUAUUAAUCUAUAAUCAGAUUGAGAAAAAAUUAAUUGAAGAGGAAACAAAAUUAUAUUCUAGUUAAAAUUGUUUAUUAAACUUGGCAGAGGUAGACUCGUCAUUUGGCUCACCUGCAAAAAUGAAUUUUUUUUAAAGGGCUUUUCCCACACUCGCUAAGCCGGAAAAUUUUCAAGUUUGAUCCUUUGCCAUGGAUGGAAAAAGAAAUCCUGAUAUAGAUAGUGUUUAGUGAGUGAUAGCUGUUGUCGUUGAAGGAUUUCUCUUUGAAUCCGAUUUGUCACUGGUGAAGAAUCUUUGAUAGUGGCAUCCCAAUAAGCAUCCGAUGAGGUGGGGUAGCCCUGGUCAGUUGUAUUGAAGAUAGCAUUUCACCAGCUUACAUUGGAACUCUAGAUUUGGAGUAGAAAUGAUUUUGGUUCCAUAUUAGUUGUUUAUUAGUUCACUUGAAUCAGAAUUAAAACAAACUUGAUUACUAAACUGUCCUUGUUUAAAAUAAAUUAUUUUUCAUGCUAAUUAAUGAAAUUUAAUUUAACAUAAUAAAUUAUAUCUAUAUAAAAAUGGUCAUUUUGGUUCUAGUCCUAAUCAACCUAGUUGUUAGAAUGAAAUCUUAUUUGUUUAAAUAGUUUGAUCAAGGUCCCUAGUAUCAUUUAAGAGAUUUAACUGAUACAUUUAUGCAUUCAAUAUCCCACAAAUUAUAAAAUUUAAACAAAUCCAAAUAUUAUUGUAACAAAUAUAACAGUUACUUAAAAAUCAAUAAUAGAGUAAUUUGUUUUUCACAUAGUUCUAGCAAAAGAAUGUACCCAUGUAAUUUUCACAUCCUAGCUCGACUUCGCCGUAGCAUGAUAUUGUCCGCUCUGGGCUUACCAUUCCCUCACGGAUUUGUUCUUGAGUUUCGGCACGAGAACUUCCAAGGGGGUCACCCAUCCUAGGACUGCUUUCGCCCAAACUCGCUUAACUUCAGAGUUCUUAUGGGAUCCGGAGCCAAUGAGCUCCCAAAAGACAUCGUGCUAUAAGGAGGGGCGCAUGUACAUAUAAGGCAUAUCACCCCCUCUCUGUUGGUCGAUGUGGGAUCUUACAAUCCACCCCACUUAAGGGGAACCCAGCGUCCUCACUGACACAUCCGUAUCGAACAGCAGUGUGGCUCUGAUACCAAUUGUCACAUCUCAGCUCGACUCCGCCGUAGCACGAUUUUGUCCGCUUUAGGCUUACCAUUCCCUCACGGAUUUGUUCUUGGGUUUCAGCACGAGAACUUCCCAAGGGGGUCACCCAUAGGACCGCUCUCGUCCAAACUCACUUAACUUCGGAGUUCUUAUGGGAUCCAAAGCCAGUGAGUUCCCAAAAAGCCUCGUGCUAUAGGGAGGGGAGCAUGUGCAUAUAAGGCACAUCACAUCACCUCUCUCCGUUGGUCGAUGUGGGAUUUUACAAUCCACCCCACUUAAAGGGAACCUAGCAUCCUCGCCGGCACAUCCGCACUGAAUGGCAGAGUGGCUCUGAUACCAUAUUGUCAUAUCCUAGCUCGACUUCGUCGUAGCACGAUAUUGUCCGUUCUAGGCUUACCAUUCCCUCACAGUUUUGUUUUUGAGUUUCGGCACGAGAAGUUCCGAGGUAAAAUUUUGGAAUAUGACGCCAAAGGUAUACGUCCUCGAAACGUACAAUACUACUAACCAACUCUACGACACAAACUAAAAGGUCUCAUGCUAUAGGGAGGGGAGUAUGUACAUAUAAGGCACAUCACCCCAUCUCCGUUUGUCGAUGUGAGAUCUUACAUAAUUAUUAAUAUAGUGCAAGAAAUAACUAUUGAUAUAUUUUAAAACAUAAAAUAAACACAUAUAAUGAGCAUGGGUACGAUCAUAAAAAAAUAUUGGUACAAAUUCAAUUAAAAAUAUGGGUACAUAUUAAAAUUCAAAACUAUUAUGACAACCCACCCCUAAUUUUACGAUUAUUAAUUUUAAAAGAGUGAUUUGACGAAAAUGCCAUAGAGGUGAGAUUAUUGACUUUCGUUGACCAUCUUUUUGUGAUGUGUUCGAACUUCUAUUUUAUCGUAUUCUCGAAGGACUCAACAGUAUGAACGCAUAGGCGUAUACGGAAUUGAAUUCGAAGCUACGAUGAAGAUUUUACGGAACUACGAAUCCGAAUACUUUUAUCAAAAUUACUAUCUGGUAUUUUAUUUAUUUAUUCAAAAGUUUAUAUUAUUAUAUUCUUAUUUUAAUAUUUUAUAAAGGAUAUUUUAUUAUUUAAUUAUCUUAUUGGUCAUGGGACCCACACAUCUCAAACCCUUCACUUCUUUCAUACCCUGUGUCCCUCUUCCCUCUCUUUCUCUUUCUCGCAUGUUUCCCUCUCUGUUACUCCCUUUCCUUCUCCUAGAAAUCACACGCUGCCACCAACUCAGUUUCCAUUCCGGUGAGAUCCUUUGUCACGGAGCUACAACCGCCGACAGCCACGACUUGUCACUAAUCUCAAACUUUCUAAAACUCUCUAAUCUUAAACUCUCUCUGCACUCCCUUGUGCACAGUAACGCCGAACCACCUAACCUCUCGAACUUCGGCGAGUUCUCGCAAUUCCCAGUGAAGGUGAGCCUCAAAAAUCCCCAAAACUUCUUAAAUCUCGUUUUGGUUUAAGAUUGGGGAAAUUUGAGGUGUUUUAUCAACAUUUUGAUGCAGAAAUGGCACGAGGGAUUUUUCCUCAGUUUCCAGCAAGAGAUCCGACAACUUCAAGUUGUUUUCCGGCCAGCUUCGGGCACGGUCGAGGAAUCCAAUGGUAUAUUUCGAUUCCUUGUUCUCCGAGCUUCAAUUUGAUAUAUAGGAAGACUUGGUUUAGUUAAGUAUUUGGGUUGGUCGGAGUCUCAGCCGUCUUUUUCCAA
rnacentral:lncRNA from 1 species